rnacentral:rRNA from 1 species
GACGAACGCUGGCGGCAUGCCUAAUACAUGCAAGUCGAGCGAACAGAUGAAGUGCUUGCACUUCUGACGUUAGCGGCGAACGGGUGAGUAACACGUAAGGAAUCUACCUAUAAGCGGGGGAUAACAUUCGGAAACGGGUGCUAAUACCGCAUAAUAUCUUCUUCCGCAUGGAAGAAGAUUGAAAGACGGCUCUGCUGUCACUUAUUGAUGACCUUGCGGGGCAUUAGUUAGUUGGUGGGGUAAUGGCCUACCAAGACGAUGAUGCAUAGCCGACCUGAGAGGGUGAUCGGCCACAUUGGGACUGAGACACGGCCCAAACUCCUACGGGAGGCAGCAGUAGGGAAUCUUCCGCAAUGGGCGAAAGCCUGACGGAGCAAUGCCGCGUGAGUGAAGAAGGCCUUCGGGUCGUAAAACUCUGUUAUAAGAGAAGAACAAAUUGUAGAGUAACUGCUACAGUCUUGACGGUAUCUUAUCAGAAAGCCACGGCUAACUACGUGCCAGCAGCCGCCGUAA